AUUGAACGCUUGCGGCAUGCUUAACACAUGCAAGUCGAACGGCAGCACGGCUCUAGCUUGCUAGAGUUGGUGGCGAGUGGCGAACGGGUGAGUAACGCGUAGGAAUAUACCUUAAAGAGCGGGACAACUUGGGGAAACUCAAGCUAAUACCGCAUAAGCUCUUCGGAGGAAAGCUGGGGACCGCAAGGCCUGGCGCUUUAAGAUUAGCCUGCGUCCGAUUAGCUAGUUGGUAGGGUAAGGGCCUACCAAGGCGACGAUCGGUAGCUGGUCUGAGAGGAUGAUCAGCCACACUGGGACUGAGACACGGCCCAGACUCCUACGGGAGGCAGCAGUGGGGAAUAUUGGACAAUGGGGGCAACCCUGAUCCAGCAAUGCCGCGUGUGUGAAGAAGGCCUGAGGGUUGUAAAGCACUUUCAGUGGGGAGGAGGGUUGACAGGUUAAGAGCUGGUCAAUUGGACGUUACCCACAUAAGAAGCACCGGCUAACUCCGUGCCAGCCGCCGCUGUAA
rnacentral:rRNA from 1 species